AUUGAACGCUGGCGGCAUGCCUUACACAUGCAAGUCGAACGGCAGCACGGGGCAACCUGGUGGCGAGUGGCGAACGGGUGAGUAAUGCAUCGGAACGUACCUUUCAGUGGGGGAUAACGUAGCGAAAGUUACGCUAAUACCGCAUAUUCUGUGAGCAGGAAAGCAGGGGAUCGCAAGACCUUGCGCUGAUUGAGCGGCCGAUGUCAGAUUCGCUAGUAGAUGAGGUAAAGGCUCACCAAGGCGACGAUCUGUAGCGGGUCUGAGAGGAUGAUCCGCCACACUGAAACUUAGACCCGGUCCAGGCUCCUACGGGAGGCAGCAGUGGGGAAUUGUGGACAAUGGGAGCAACCCUGAUUCAGCCAUGCCGCGUGAGUGAAGAAGGCCUUCGGGUUGUAAAGCUCUUUCGGCCGGGAAGAAAUCGCACGGGCUAAUACCCUGUGUGGAUGACGGUACCGGAAUAAGAAGCACCGGCUAACUACGUGCCAGCAGCCGCGGUAAUAC
rnacentral:rRNA from 1 species